UCAAUACUAAUGUCUACAUCCAAUAAAACACCAAAAAUUGGGGAUUUUUUCUCAAAAAAAAAACAAACCAUACAAUACUUAAUACCUGGUUCAUUUGACAAAUUAUACCAAGAAAAGCUGGACAACCAUUGUUUUCAUUGUUUUCAUUGCUGGUGGCAAACAAAGAGUGUCUCAGUAUUGCGUGUACAAUGUUCUCUUUGAGAAGUAUUAAGUAUUUUUACCUUGAAAAAGAUUCUUGUGUUGUUUGACCAAAGCAAAAUUUUAACCAUUGCUCUGAAUUUUGAGGAUCUGGCUAAAAUUUUUGUUAUAGAGAACUUCAACAAGAUCAUGAUCCCCAUCGAAUUUAAUAUUUACUAACCAACUUUCUCUUUUCAAUAUUUUUCUUAACAAACAGGAGUUUUUGAUGUGCUAGGAACUUCCAAAACAAGAAAAAAAACAAAGAGGACUGAUAGCCCAGAUGUGUUGACUGGCUCAACCUGUAGUGACGAAGAUGAAUGAACAAAGUUGGUGAAAUAUAUAAAUAAAAAGAAAGAAGCAAUAGUUUGUCAGUGAUCGUACAAAUAAUCUGACAUACAAGCAUGAAAUUAUGAUCUUGAUUGGCCUGGAAGAUACUGCAAUCCAUGUCAGCUACUACAAUAUCUGGGCAGUUUGAUGCUUCAUGCCUAAAGAAAAUGAACAAGAGUUUCAUAGACGACAAAAGCCCUUCGUACAGAACGCUUUCUUCAACUUACUGAACACUUUUCAAGUAGUCAUAAGCAGAAGUGGGAAAACCAGUUGGAUUGCUAUUUGAGUUCUUUUUUCCUGUAUUUUUUAAAUGUUCAAGGCGAAAUACUGCUUCCAUUGAACUUUUGAUUGUUUGUAAACAAACUAACCAGGUCCAAAUGAUAUGACAACGAUUUUGAAUUCGGCCCUGUGUAACAGUGUAAGUGUUCAGAUAUCUACGUCAAAAAAUGCAUUUCACAAUAAAUCGUGAAAGUUAA